AUGUCUUUGGUCUGUUUUCUUAUAUUUUGUCUUUUACUAGAGGAAGGGGAUGCUUUGUAUGUGGGCAUUAAAAUGCAGCUUAUUGCUGAAGGAAGAUUCCGACAGGAUCUUCUAAGCAUGGCUGAAGUACCUGUGAGCAUCUCAACUUCUAACAACAACUACAGCGUCCAAAAGUCAGAAGUGGUGAUGGGAUAUCUGAGAGACAGAGGAACUCCUGAAAUGGACGCGUGGUGGAUUCCUCUUGACGAAAGACUUCAGUGUCUCUCAACAGAUGUCAGCCAUGCACUGCUUAUUGUUUCUCCAGAGUGCUUUGCUGUGUUCAGAGACAGAUCUGGAAGAUAUGGAUUUUUUGAUUCACAUUCCAGAACUGCUGAAGGUUUGCCACAUCCUACUGGUGACGGAACUGCAGUUAUGCUAACUUUCACCAACCUACAUGACAUGACCAACAGACUACUUGAGCUUUUUUGGAAUCGUGGUUCUCAGACUUGCUAUGAAUUCAUGGCUGUUUCAUUUGAAAUGGAGCAACAGUCUGAGGAACCAUGCUCAUCAUCAGCAUGUGUGACACCAUCGCAAGUAACUUCACCUCUGCCAAAAACACAAACAACUGCUGACAUCAGAAUGCCUGAAAAUUUUGUUCAUACAGAUGACAAAAACCAAAGUGUCAUAAAGGUUUUAAAAACAAACAAGCAGCGAAGAAGAAAAGAAGUGCGUAAAAUUGUGAGUAAAAAGCAAGCAGCAAGACUUGAGAAAACUGCUCCACAUUUUGAAGUCCGGGAACAAAAAAGAAGAGAAUAUGAGAGACAGAAAUAUGCCACCAAUUUGCAGUUUCAGAAAAAGAAAAUGGAGGGUACCAAAAAGAAGUAUGAUCAAGAUCCUUUUUCCAGAUUCAACAAGCUAAAGUAUAUGGCCAAGAGGUACAAAACUGAUGUUCUCUUCCAGAAGAAAAAGAAGGACUACAUGGUGAGGAGGUACAAGACCGAUAAUCUUUUCCAGAAGAAGAUGAAGGACUACAUGGCCAGGAGGUACCAAACUGAUGCUAUUUUCCAGAAGAAAAUGAAGGACUACAUGGCCAGAAGAUACACAAGUGACUCAGAGUUUAGGUCACAUCACAUUCUUCGUUGUACUUUCCAUAAGAAACAGAAGUGUCUUACCGAUCCUGGAUUCCACAUUCUUCACAAGUUGAGAUGUGCAUUAAGGAUCAAGAGAAAAUACAAACCAUACAUUCGUUUCAGCCAGGACACACCCAAGUCUGAUGCGACAAACCAGCCUGUGUCCAACAGCUUGAUGCAAAAGGCCAUAUCUGCAUUUCGGCGUCAAAUUCUGCAUGGUCCAACUUACAUCUGCACAGUCUGUCACAGAACUCUGUUUCCAAAUCAGGUUAAGAUGUGUAAUAGAACACGAUAUGUCAAAAAUGUUCAUAUUACA
ensembl:lncRNA